UACGGAGGGUGCAAGCGUUAUCCGGAUUCACUGGGCUUAAAGGGUGCGUAGGAGGGCAGGUAAGUCAGUGGUGAAAUCUCCGAGCUUAACUUGGAAACUGCCGUUGAUACUAUCUGUCUUGAAUAUUGUGGAGGUGAGCGGAAUAUGUCAUGUAGCGGUGAAAUGCUUAGAUAUGACAUAGAACACCAAUUGCGAAGGCAGCUCGCUACACAUAUAUUGACUCUGAGGCACGAAAGCGUGGGGAGCAAACAGG
rnacentral:rRNA from 1 species